UGGAUCUUCUCUAACUGCUACUCUUACAUAGCUUUCCAGUCAAGGAUGGUAAGGACCUCUGCGAGGGGAAGCCAGCAACCAUGUCUGCACUGAGAGCCUGCUCUUGGUGUCCCAGCUUGGGAGAUCUCCCUGAUGGGGGCCCUGGCCCCUUGCCUGGGAUGACUACCUUCAUUCCUCUGAUCAUAGCUGCCUGGCAUGCUCUCCUGCUUUUCAAGAUUAUUUUGCCUGCAAGGCGUCUCUCUAUAUUUACAUCACAUAGCAAUUUGUUCUGUCUUGUCUUGCUUCUCACCUUCUUAGGCACAGGAGGAAAGCAACUUAUUUCCUUGCUUCUUCUGACAAACACAUGCUCUCCAGAGCAGACAGAUGCCUUAAAAUCAGAUACAGGGCAUCAGUUCAUCUUUUGGGUUCAGCUGUAGCAUAUAAAGCAUUUGCUGGCUCUGGUCUAAUGCUUUUUGACGUUGUCAGACCCUCUUCAGUUAACUUCUGCCUUGAAACCAACUUGACAGCAAGUAUUGUUCCACAUUUAUUAAUACUGUACAUGUCAUCUUCAGACUGACAUGUUUCAAAGCCAGGCAUCAGCUGUGUUCAGCUCUGGCUUGAAAAAAAAUAUGCAGACAACAGCACAGACCUCCUGCUACUAACAAGUAAAUAGAUAAAUAAUGUGAUCACAGUGCAGCCCCAAAGCCUGGGAUUCUUUUCCAUGCCCACAGUGCUGCAGUUUGGUGCACCAGCGAAUGACACUGUAAAGCUCCUGGGUCUAAGCACUCUCCUUUGCGUGUUUACCUUCAUCCUCUGCAGGAGAUUAAUGUGGUUUGUCAGUCUGAAAAACAUGUUUAUAACACCAGAAACCACUACAACCUUGGCAGUCUGCACUGGAAUUAAACGUCAUAAAAUUCAGACAUCCAAAUUUGUCUGCUUUGGUUUUACAUGACAAGUUCUUUCACAGUAGUUCUCCUGUGCCUCCGGUGCCAUUGGCACAGUGCAGCAGUCAAGAGGUGAUACCUGAAGUACUGUUAUUAUUUAUGUCACAGGUCUUCCUAAAACAGAAUAAAAUACUACUCUGAGUGGCUGAAAUGAACAUAAUAUGUAAUCGCAGCAAGCUUUUUUCCUACUGUCAGAUGCAAGGCUGCUGAUCCUGAUUUCACCAAGAUUUGUCCUUCCUGCUUCACAUUCUAUACAUUCAUUCACUGAGGUCCCUUCCAGAGCUGUUGGGUGCUCGAGCACCAUUAAUGUUUUCAGAAUUUUCUGUUCCUAGUUGAAGGGAGAAGGUGCCUGACAUUCUCAUGACAGAGUUCAAAGCAGAAUCCAAGAAUGGAUGAGGUUGGCAGGGACCUCUGGGUCCAUCUGCUCCAACCCCUAUUCCAGCAGAGACAUCCACAGAUGGGUGCCCAGGCCCACGUCCAGGCAGGUUUUGAAGAUUUCCAAGGAGGAGACUCUACGAUGUGUGCCAGAGCUCGUCACCCACACUGCACAGAAGUGCUGCCUAGCAUUCAGAGGAAACCUCCUGUGUUCUGGUUUGUGACCACCAACUCUUGUCUUGGCACUAGGCACCACUGAAAACAGCCUGGAUCCAUCUUUUUCACACCCUCCCUUCAGGUAUAUAUAUUGAUUGAUAGGUUGCCCAGAGAGGUUGUGUAUUCCCCCUCCCAGGAAGCAUGUAAGGCCGGGCUGGAUGGGGCUUUGAGCAACCUGGUCUAGAGGGAGGUGACCCUGCCUAUAGCAAGAGAGUUGGACCCAGAUGAUCUUAAAAGUCCCUUCCAACUCAAACCAUUCUAGGAUUCUAUGUUUCCUCCUGAGCCUUCUUUCCUCCAGGCUGAACAGUCCCAUAAAGUAGAAUGCUAAAACAAAGGAUGAAUUUUGUAGCUAUUGUUCAGUUGACUUACUUCUGUAGAGUGACUCAAAAUCAAAUGGAUGUUUCUUUCCCUGCUGCUUUUCCUCCCUUCCCCACACACGUCCUAAAAUGUCAUUCUGUCACCUUUCCCUGUUGAACACCACAUACCUGGAAUCUUUCCAUAUCAUAAGAAACGCUUUAAUCUGGAGAGUAAUGCAAAUAGUGCUCACUUAUAAAAUGCUUUGGUAUGCUUAGUUUUAUUCC
ensembl:lncRNA